UUUUUUUUUUCUUUUUUUAGGGCCACACCUAUGGCAUAUGAAAGUUCCCAGACUAGGGGUAGAAUUGGAGCUGCAGCUGCUGGCCACAGCCACACCAGAUCCUCAACCCACUGAGCGAUGCCAGGGAUCAAACUCACAUCCUUAUGGAUUCUAACUGGAUUCUUAACCUGCUGAGCCACAAAGGGAACUCUUGAAUCUGCACUUCUGAUGUGUUCAUGAGUGCCACUGAUACUGCUGGUCUAAGGCCCAUACUUUGAAUAACCAUAACCUUAGAUGUAAAUUUAAUUGCUUACUCCAAAGAGCCAGAAGUUAUUCCAGUCCACUGUAUUGCUAAAUUUUAGAAAUGGAAAUGAUUAAAAGUACUGCCAUUCCUGAGUGAGUUUACUUUGGUAGACUGUCUGAAUAUUGCUGGCUAAGGGAAGUUAAAACAAAUCAUCACAAUAGGAAAAGAGAGGGAACAGUUCCAAUCUUUUUUCCUGUUAUAUAGGAUGAGCAAAAGUCUAAUUGUAAUAUCUAUAGGGUGGAGUCUUUCAGGUACCAGAAUUAUCAUAUAAAAAUGAAAUAUUUUUAAAAAGUCAUAGUGUUCCUAUGAAAAUGGCUUACUCACUUGGCAAGAUCUCACCUUCAAUAAAAUAAAAUAGAGUUUAAAACACUGGCAGAGGAUUUCCCAUUGUGGCUCAUGGGGUUAGGAAUCUGACUUGUAUCGAUGAAGAUGUGGGUUUGAUCUCUGGCUUUGCUUAGUGGGUUAAAGGAUCUGGCAUUGCUGUGAGUUGUGGUGUAGGUUUCAGAGGUGGCUCAGAUCCUGCAUUGCUGUGGCUGUGGCCAGUAGCUGCAGUUCUGAUUUGACUCCUCUUCUGGGAACUUCCACAUGCCUCGGGUGCAGCCCCAAAAAGACCAAAAAAAAAAAAAAAAAAAUGCUGGCAGAACUAGUAGCAGAGACACUUCAGUAGUAAUGAGUUCACCCAGUGCACACAUACCUUGGUUUCUAAAUACCACUUUUUUUUUUUUUUUUUUUUUUUGGUCUUCAGGGCUGCACUUGCAGCAUAUGGAGUUCAAAACAAAAAGCAAUGCAAUGUAUGAUUUCAUCUGAAUCCAGAGAAAAAAAAGUAGAUUAAGUGGCUCCCAGGGGCUGAGGAGAGUGGAGAAUGAGGAGAGACAACUAAAGGGUAUGGGCUUCUUUUCGGCACGAUGAAAUGUUCUGAAAUUAAAUAGCGAUAGUCACACAACUGUCAAUACAGUAAAAACCACUAACUGUACACUCUAAAAGGGUAAAUUUUAUGGUAUGUGAAUUGUGUCUCAAUAAGAAAAGAGGCAAUAUCAAAAAAAAAAAAAAAAAAAAAGAGAGAAAGCAAUGCAAAAUGUUCCUUUCUCAAAAAUGGGGAAUAUUGGAAUGCAUGAGGGCCAAGGGCAUGGUCAAAAUAAAAAAAAAACUGGAUCCCUACACAAACAAACAAACUUAAAUAAUGAAAACACAAAACUAAUUUCAAUAGCCCAAGACUAUUUUUUCUAGAAAAUAGAAAAUGGGUGGCAGGCUGUGUCCAUGGCACGCAGAAAUUCCCAGGCCAGGAAUGGCAACUGCACCACAUCAGUGACAACGCCAGAUCCCUAACCCACUUUGCCACAGGAGAACACCUAGAAAGUAUUUUUCUUUCUUCG
rnacentral:lncRNA from 1 species